rnacentral:rRNA from 1 species
UACGUAGGGCGCAAGCGUUGUCCGGAAUUAUUGGGCGUAAAGAGCUCGUAGGCGGCUCGUCGCGUCGACCGUGAAAACCCACAGCUUAACUGUGGGCUUGCGGUUGAUACGGGCGGGCUAGAGUUCGGUAGGGGAGACUGGAAUUCCUAGUGUAGCGGUGAAAUGCAUAGAUAUUAGGAGGAACACCAGUGGCGAAGGCGAGUCUCUGGCACGCAUCUGACGCUGAAACACGAAAGCCAGGGGAGCGAACGGG